CUGUACACUGGCAGAGUUCCAGCCUGCAAGAGGCUUGGGGGAGUGGAAGAAGGGUGAUCAGGCAGGGGACACCAUAUGCAUGUGUGCAUGGCCACCAGGCAGCCUGGAGAGCAGCUUCUGGAAGAAGGUUGACAUUGAGGAAGAAAUCCAACAUCUCCUCAAAUGUGGAAGUGCAGCUUUCAGAUGCCUGAGGAAAUGGGGUAUCAAAGAUCACGACAGAUUGAAAACCAAGCUCUAUCAGCUUUAUCAAGCAGUUGUGAUCCUCACCUCCUUGUAUGGAGAUGUGGACAACAUACAGGUGACACCUCAAGUUGCUGGAGAAGUACCAUCAGCGUUGCCUGUGGAAGAUCCUUUGAAUCCAGGGGGAAGACAGAUGCACCAGCAUUAGCAUCCUCUCACAAGUAAACACAAUGAGCAUUGAGGCAAUGAUCAUCUAACAUCAACUUCACUGGGCCAGCCACAUCAUCUGGAUGGCUGACUCCAGAUUCCCAAAGCAAGUUUUAUUCUCAAGAGGAGGGCAGAGAAAGCAUUUCAAGGCCAUCUUGAAAACAUGCACUAUCAGCAUCAACUUAUGAGAGACUGUCACCCAAGACCUCCUCAAACGGAGGAAGAGUCUGCUGCAAGAAUCUCAGUACAUUCAGACCUCCAUGACAACAACAGGAGAUAGAAAAGCAGGAGUGGCAGAAACAGUGUGUCACAGACUAGAUCAAGACUCCAGAGCCACCCACCCCACACAGAAACAAGUGUCCAAACUGCAAUAGAGCCAGGCGAUCCCAGAUUGUCCUUAUCUGUGGGUCUGAAGAUGGCUGACAAGACAAUCAUUCUCAACUACAAGGGACUGCCAGUGAUGAAACCUCUGCCUGGAGACCAGAAGGGGACGGGGGAAGAGCCUCUGUAAGGAAUGAGAGACAGCAGCUGCUGCAUUAGCAGGCAGGCUCAGCAGCCCGUGGGUCCCAGAACCCGGUGCGCUGAGACCCAGAUGCUGGGAACCACGGAGGGACACCUGUCAGGCAUGCCAGCUUCCUAGGGAAGUCUGAAUUCUCCAAGGAAGAAAGACUGCCGUUAAAGGGGUAGCACUUCUAUUUGUGUGUAUGUGUUGUGUUGAGCCCCAGGGGGGAAGACAAUUCUGUUGCUAAGCA